UUGAUGUCAGAUGUUCAGAUCGUCGACUGUUGAGCCGUAGAUUAAAAAAAAACGCGUACUAAAAACGCACGCAUUAUACUGACGAUUCAAGUUUCUUUACAAAUUACUUUUUACGAAGUAUUAAGUUUUUUAUUGAAAACCCAGAACUGCGACAGAUUAGUUCCAGAAUCGCCUUCGAAACAACAGGUUGAUGAUCGAUUUAUGACGUUGAUGAGCUUCAAUCGAUUCUCAUAAUGAUUCGGCUGUCAACGAUUGUUCGUCAUAUUGGAUGUAUUCAUUAAAUAGAAUGAAAGUUAUUGUUAAGUGAAUAAAAAAUUUGCUUUCUCAACGA